GUGCUCACUUCAGCAGCACAUAUACUAAAAUUGGAACGAUACAGAGAUUAACAUGGCCCCUGCUCAAGGACAACAUGCAAAUUUGUGAAGCCUUCCAUAUUUAA